rnacentral:rRNA from 1 species
AUUGAACGCUGGCGGCAGGCCUAAUACAUGCAAGUCGAACGAGUGGCGGACGGGUGAGUAAUGUCUGGGAAACUGCCUGAUGGAGGGUGAUAACUACUGGAAACGGUAGCUAAUACCGCAUACCAUCAGAUGUGCCCAGAUGGGAUUCGCUUGUUGGUGGGGUAACGGCUCACCAAGGCGAAGAUCCCUAGCUGGUCUGAGAAGAUGACGAGACACACUGGAAAUGGGACACUGUCCAAACUCCUACGGGAGGCAGCAGUGGGGAAUAUUGGACAAUGGGCCGAAGCCUGAUGCAGCCAUGCCGGGUGUAUGAAGAAGGCCGUCGGGUUGUAAAGUAAUUUCAGCGGGGAGGCGUUACCCGCAGAAGAAGCACCGGCUAACUCCGUGCCAGCAGCCGCGGUAAUUC